GUGUAGUGGAUCCGGGAACUCCAGGCAGGCUGCCUGACUCCAGUGUUUGUGCUCAGAACUAUUCCUGAAAUGAGAGAGUUGGAAAGAUAAAAGUUUCAUAUGAAAUAGUGCCCAGUUGGAAGCAAGGCGGGAUGACUUUUGUAAGCAGAAUUCGAAAGCAUCAUCAGAUCGUUGCAUGGCUUUACUUCAGGAUAUAUUUGGCCCUUUAGAAGAAGAUGUCAAGCAGGGAACAUUUUCUAAACCAGGAGGUUACCGUCUCUUUACUCAGAAGCUGCAGGAGCUGAAGAAUAAGUACUACCAGGUGCCAAGGAAGGGGAUACAGGCCAAAGAGGUGCUGAAAAAAUACUUGGAGUCCAAGGAGGAUGUGGCUGAUGCACUUCUACAGACUGAUCAGUCACUCUCAGAAAAAGAAAAAGCGAUUGAAGUGGAACGUGUAAAGGCUGAAUCUGCAGAAGCUGCAAAGAAAAUGUUGGAGGAAAUACAAAAGAAGAAUGAGGAGAUGAUGGAACAGAAAGAGAAGAGUUAUCAGGAACAUGUGAAACAAUUGACUGAGAAGAUGGAGAGGGACAGGGCCCAGUUAAUGGCAGAGCAAGAGAAGACCCUCGCUCUUAAACUUCGGGAACAGGAACGCCUUCUCAAGGAGGGAUUCGAGAAUGAGAGCAAGAGACUUCAAAAAGAAAUACGGGAUAUCCAGAUGAGAAGCAAAUCAUUGCACCCAAUAUGUAACAUACUCUAAAAGUCCAAGGAGCAAAAUUUGCCUGUCCAGCUCCCUCUCCCCAAGAAACAAGAUGAAU
rnacentral:sRNA from 1 species